rnacentral:rRNA from 1 species
ACGCUCGACACCUACGGAGGCAGCAGUCGGGAAUAUUGCGCAAUGGAGGAAACUCUGACGCAGUGACGCCGCGUGCAGGAAGAAGGUUUUCGGAUUGUAAACUGCUUUAGACAGGGAAGAGGAAGGACAGUACCUGUAGAAUAAGCUCCGGCUAACUACGUGUCAGCAGCCGCGGUAAUCUGAGCGGGCUGGCAAGGC